UUUAUAAGCUGCUUCAGCUGCAGCAGCACUUUGGGAGAUUCUGGUUCCACCUGUUUAAAUAAAUAGGAGCCUCAGAAAGAGGAGUGGAUUGGAAUUUGCUUGGGCUCAAACUGGGUCUAACAGCACAAGUCAGGCUGAAAGCUACAAGCCGGGCCAAGCGCUAGCAGAGGAGAAUGAUAUUCCAGGGUGAUUAAGUUACAGCAUACUCAGAAGAGGUCUCCUGAGUUUCAGCAAGAUUAUAUCUAAAAUGGCAUGGAAAGUUUACCGUCUCUCCAGACAAAAGGAAGAGAGUUUGUUGCCAGCAGAUGAGUAAUGGGCAUGGCCUCUGCACAAUACCUCCUAUCCAGUUCUAAAUCUACAUGGUGUUCUCAGGCUUCCCAGCUUCUCCAAAGCAACCUUUGUCUCUGCACUGGGAGACCAGAACUGCUCGUUGAGUUAGUGGGGUUGCAGCCAAGAUGGGAAUGCUUGGUGACAACAGUUGCUCAGUGCUCAGUGCCCAGUAUCUGCCUUCUUACUAUGCUACUACAAUAGUUGGAAACUCAUCAACAUUUGUAUAGAAGGUGCCCAAUUAUGUUGCAGACCAGCUGUAUAGUUUUCAGUUCCAGAAGAUUCCAGUAACUCACUAAGUUUUAAUACUUUUUUUUUUUUUCCUUGUUAAUCUGAUGGGCUGCCUGAGAUAAAUGAUUAAAGCAAAAGCAUGGCAGAAUUACUCUGGGGGUAAAACUACAUAGAAGUUGCCAAGUCUGGUAUUUGCUUUCUUACAAUCUACUUGAAGAAAGCAUUUUCCAUGGAUGAGAAAUUUUAGAUUUUUAUUAAGUUUUUUAGUUUUUAUUCUUUCUUUGUCAGAAAAACAUUUUGGUGAAAAAGCAAACAUGAACAAUGUUAGAACAGAAACUAAAGUUUUCCCAAAGAAUCUGUGUACUUAGUGCUAUAGAGGCCAGUAGGUAAUUUUUUUCUUGUUUCUCUUAUGAAGUUUCCUAGAGCUUGUCUUUUCGGAAUGUACCCCUAUGUUGGCUGCAGAUG